rnacentral:rRNA from 1 species
CCUACGGGAGACAGCAGUGAGGAAUAUUGGUCAAUGGACGAGAGUCUGAACCAGCCAAGUAGCGUGAAGGAUGACUGCCCUAUGGGUUGUAAACUUCUUUUAUAUGGGAAUAAAAUGUUCCACGUGUGGGAUUUUGUAUGUACCAUAUGAAUAAGGGUCGGCUAACUCCGUGCCAGCAGCCGCGGUAAUACGGAGGAUCCGAGCGUUAUCCGGAUUUAUUGGGUUUAAAGGGAGCGUAGGUGGAUUGUUAAGUCAGUUGUGAAAGUUUGCGGCUCAACCGUAAAAUUGCAGUUGAAACUGGCAGUCUUGAGUACAGUAGAGGUGGGCGGAAUUCGUGGUGUAGCGGUGAAAUGCUUAGAUAUCACGAAGAACUCCGAUUGCGAAGGCAGUUCACUGGACUGCAACUGACACUGAGGCUCGAAAGUGUGGGUAUCAAACAGGAUUAGAUACCCGUGUAGUC